AAUAUGGAUUAUGAAAUGAGGGUGGUUUUUAUAAAGUUUAAAAAAGUAACAAGAAGAAACAAGAAGUGGGUUAUAUACUAUUUAAAGAUUUGUUUCUGUUUUCUGAACUUGACAAAAAUUGUAAGGAGAUUUAUUUGUUUUUGGAAAAGAACUAGAGGAUAAUAGAUUUAAAUCUUUAUUGAUAUUUUUAAGGUUUAUAUGAUAGAAUUUAGUGGGCUAAAUGGUAGUUAGUGAUCCCGAUUUUGAAAGAGGUCCUAAUUAAUAGGUGGCACUGUGGCAGUAAUACGCUUAUAAAUAAAUCUGUAUGCAAAACGGCAAUGUCUAGAAGAAGACAACGAUACGAUGACCACAACCAACACGAGGUUCACGGCUCUACAGAAUUCUCUUCUGAUGUUUAGCUGUGGUCCCUUGAUCCAGACACUCCUCAGCAACCAGUCUUUGUAUGGAAUCCACCGUUCUCUAUAAAGAUCUAUUUGUCUCUUCUUCCACUUCCAUCAGGGUCCAGUGACUACUAGGGGGUCUCUGCAAACUUCCAUUGACCACAAGAUAAGGAUUCACUCAAGGAAGGAUUAAAUGCCACCAUCUCACCCCAACCCUUUGGUGCAUCUGCAUUGGAAAUUAUUGGUCAAUUUUUGAGUGAUGGCCUUUCCACCACCAUACCUUUUAAAAUAGUAACAUAUGAAUGGUUAAUUGUUUUAGGCUGCAGCCAUUUAUUUUAAUUUCCAACAAUACAUUUUAAACUGAAAUUGUAUGAAAUGCCAUGUUAUUUUAUGUAUUGUAAAAAAAACAAGUUAUUCAACACCAUUUCAACUAAUGUCAAGCAAUUUUAGAAUGUGACUGUUAUGCAUAAUUACUGCAUCUUCCUUACCACACAAUUCUUAUAACAAUUGACAUAACAACAGUGCAGUUAAGGUCUGACCAUGUCAAAGUUGUAUCAACUGCAGCUUUUAUACAUAAAGUAAAUGGGGUUGUUUAAAUUGAAA